UACGUAGGGGGCAAGCGUUGUCCGGAAUCAUUGGGCGUAAAGAGCGUGUAGGCGGCCAGAUAAGUCCGCUGUGAAAUCCGUAGGCUCAACUUCGAGCUGUCGGUGGAAACUGUCUGGCUAGAGUCCGGAAGAGGAGAAUGGAAUUCCUGGUGUAGCGGUGAAAUGCGCAGAUAUCGGGAGGAACACCGGUGGCGAAGGCGGUUCUCUGGGCCUUACCUGACGCUGAGGAGCGAAAGCGUGGGGAGCGAACAGG
rnacentral:rRNA from 1 species